rnacentral:rRNA from 1 species
AACAAACGCUGGCGGCGUGCCUAAUACAUGCAAGUCGAACGGGGAAAGCUUUCGGGUGAGUACUAGUGGCGCACGGGUGAGGAACGCGUGGAUAAUCUGCCUUAGAGUGGGGGAUAACUAGUCGAAAGAUUAGAUAAUACCGCACAAGACCACAGGAGCUGCGGCUCUAGGGGUAAAAGGUUUUUCGCUCUAAGAUGAGUCAGCGUAAGAUUAGCUAGUUGGUGAGGUAACGGCUCACCAAGGCGACGAUCUUUAACUGGUCUGAGAGGAUGAUCAGUCACACUGGAACUGAGACACGGUCCAGACUCCUACGGGAGGCAGCAGUAGGGAAUAUUGCACAAUGGAGGAAACUCUGAUGCAGCGACGCCGCGUGAGUGAUGAAGGCCUUCGGGUCGUAAAGCUCUGUCGCAGGGGAAUAACACAAUGAAUGUACCCUGUAAGAAAGGAUCGGCUAACUUCGUGCCAGCAGCCGCGGUAAAAC